rnacentral:rRNA from 1 species
CCCUUAGAUGUUCUGGGCUGCACGCGUGCUACAAUGGCGUUUCCAGCAAGUCUGCGAACCCGAGAGGGCCAGCGGAUCUUCGAAUUGGCGUCGUGAUCGGGACAGUCGAUUGCAAUUAUUUGACUCAAACGAGGAAUUCCCUGUAAUCGCGAUUCAUCAUAUCGCGCUGAAUACGUCCCUGCCCUUUGUACACACCGCCCGUCGCUCCUACCGAUUGAGCGAUCCGGUAAAUGUUUUGGAUUGGUGCCGGGGCGGCUAGCUGCCGGUCGCUACGAAAUUUUGUGAACCUUAUCGCUUAGAGGAAGGAAAAGUCGUAACA